ensembl:miRNA gga-mir-1647 gga-mir-1647
CCACAUAGUGGCUCUCGGACCCUCUUUUCUCUGCCUGAGGGGUACUCUGAGGUACAAGAGUUGCCCCGUAGGCAUGGCAAGGUGGUUCUGAGCAGCACAGCUAGAGG